rnacentral:rRNA from 1 species
CCUACGGGAGGCAGCAGUGAGGAAUAUUGGUCAAUGGACGAGAGUCUGAACCAGCCAAGUAGCGUGAAGGAUGACUGCCCUAUGGGUUGUAAACUUCUUUUAUAUGGGAAUAAAAUGUUCCACGUGUGGGAUUUUGUAUGUACCAUAUGAAUAAGGAUCGGCUAACUCCGUGCCAGCAACCGCGGUAAUACGGAGGAUCCGAGCGUUAUCCGGAUUUAUUGGGUUUAAAGGGAGCGUAGGUGGAUUGUUAAGUCAGUUGUGAAAGUUUGCGGCUCAACCGUAAAAGUGCAGUUGAAACUGGCAGUCGUGAGUACAGUAGAGGUGGGCGGAAUUCGUGGUGUAGCGGUGAAAUGCUUAGAUAUCACGAAGAACUCCGAUUGCGAAGGCAGCUCACUGGACUGAAACUGACACUGAGGCUCGAAAGUGUGGGUAUCAAACAGGAUUAGAUACCCUUGUAGUC